AUUAGUGGGUUCCCGAGCUGAGACCCCCCCACCCUCCGGAGGAGGGGGACCCGCGCGCGUCUGGUGUCCCCAGGUCACCCGGCUCCUCGUCUUUGGCCGCCUUCAGCCAGCAACACUGAAAAGAGGAACCAGUGGAGAGAAAAUGAAAAGGCAGAAUAUCACCACUGACUCACCAAUUCCACCUGAAAAGCACAGUACUCAUGUACAGAUGUGAGUUGGACCACAAA